rnacentral:rRNA from 1 species
ACAUGCAGUCGAGCGGCAGCGGGAAGUAGCUUGCUACUUUUGCCGGCGAGCGGCGGACGGGUGAGUAAUGCCUGGGAAUUGCCCAGUCGAGGGGGAUAACAGUUGGAAACGACUGCUAAUACCGCAUACGCCCUACGGGGGAAAGCAGGGGACCUUCGGGCCUUGCGCGAUUGGAUAUGCCCAGGUGGGAUUAGCUAGUUGGUGAGGUAAUGGCUCACCAAGGCGACGAUCCCUAGCUGGUCUGAGAGGAUGAUCAGCCACACUGGAACUGAGACACGGUCCAGACUCCUACGGGAGGCAGCAGUGGGGAAUAUUGCACAAUGGGGGAACCCUGAUGCAGCCAUGCCGCGUGUGUGAAGAAGGCCUUCGGGUGUAAGCACUUUCAGCGAGAGGAAGGUCAGUAGCUAGAUCUGCUGGCUGUGACGUACUCGCAGAGAGCACGCUACUCCGUGCAGCAGCGCGUAUACGAGGUGCAGCGUAUCGGAUACUGGCGUAAGCGCACGCGGCGUGAUAGUAGAUGUGAAGCCCGGCUCACUGGAUGCUUUAACUGUCAGCUAGA